rnacentral:tRNA from 1 species
UGUGGAUUAGCUCAGCUGGUAGAGCACUUGACUUUGACUCAAGUUGUCGCAGGUUCGACUCCUGCAUCCACUGCCA